rnacentral:rRNA from 1 species
AACGAACGCUGGCGGCAUGCCUAACACAUGCAAGUCGAACGAGACCUUCGGGUCUAGUGGCGCACGGGUGCGUAACGCGUGGGAACCUGCCCUUAGGUUCGGAAUAACUCCCCGAAAGGGGUGCUAAUACCGGAUAAUGUCUUCGGACCAAAGAUUUAUCGCCUUUGGAUGGGCCCGCGUUGGAUUAGCUAGUUGGUAGGGUAAAAGCCUACCAAGGCGACGAUCCAUAGCUGGUCUGAGAGGAUGAUCAGCCACACUGGGACUGAGACACGACCCAGACUCCUACGGGAGGCAGCAGUGGGGAAUAUUGGACAAUGGGCGAAAGCCUGAUCCAGCAAUGCCGCGUGAGCGAUGAAGGCCUUAGGGUUGUAAAGCUCUUUUACCCGGGAUGAUAAUGACAGUACCGGGAGAAUAAGCUCCGGCUAACUCCGU